rnacentral:rRNA from 1 species
AUUGAACGCUGGCGGCAGGCCUUACACAUGCAAGUCGAACGGCAGCACGGGGGCGAACCCUGUGGCGAGUGGCGAACGGGUGAGUAACACAUCGGAACGUACCCUAUCGUGGGGAGUAACCAGUCGAAAGAUUGGCUAAUACCGCAUGCACUGGAGACAGCAAAAGCGGGGGACCGGCAACGGCCUCGCGCGAUUGGAGCGGCCGAUGUCCGAUUAGCUAGUUGGUGGGGUAAAGGCUCACCAAGGCGACGAUCGGUAGCUGGUCUNAGAGGAUGAUCAGCCACACUGGGACUGAGACACGGCCCAGACUCCUACGGGAGGCAGCAGUGGGGGAAUUUUGG